CCGGUAAACGGCGGCCGUAACUAUAACGGUCCUAAGGUAGCGAAAUUCCUUGUCGGGUAAGUUCCGACCUGCACGAAUGGCGUAAUGAUGGCCAGGCUGUCUCCACCCGAGACUCAGUGAAAUUGAACUCGCUGUGAAGAUGCAGUGUACCCGCGGCAAGACGGAAAGACCCCGUGAACCUUUACUAUAGCUUGACACUGAACAUUGAGCCUUGAUGUGUAGGAUAGGUGGGAGGCUUUGAAGUGUGGACGCCAGUCUGCAUGGAGCCGACCUUGAAAUACCACCCUUUAAUGUUUGAUGUUCUAACGUGGACCCGUGAUCCGGGUUGCGGACAGUGUCUGGUGGGUAGUUUGACUGGGGCGGUCUCCUCCUAAAGAGUAACGGAGGAGCACGAAGGUUGGCUAAUCCUGGUCGGACAUCAGGAGGUUAGUGCAAUGGCAUAAGCCAGCUUGACUGCGAGCGUGACGGCGCGAGCAGGUGCGAAAGCAGGUCAUAGUGAUCCGGUGGUUCUGAAUGGAAGGGCCAUCGCUCAACGGAUAAAAGGUACUCCGGGGAUAACAGGCUGAUACCGCCCAAGAGUUCAUAUCGACGGCGGUGUUUGGCACCUCGAUGUCGGCUCAUCACAUCCUGGGGCUGAAGUAGGUCCCAAGGGUAUGGCUGUUCGCCAUUUAAAGUGGUACGCGAGCUGGGUUUAGAACGUCGUGAGACAGUUCGGUCCCUAUCUGCCGUGGGCGCUGGAGAACUGAGGGGGGCUGCUCCUAGUACGAGAGGACCGGAGUGGACGCAUCACUGGUGUUCGGGUUGUCAUGCCAAUGGCACUGCCCGGUAGCUAAAUGCGGAAGAGAUAAGUGCUGAAAGCAUCUAAGCACGAAACUUGCC
rnacentral:rRNA from 1 species